UUAAGUUUUUUGUUCUUCUUUUUGCUUCUUCCCAUCCUUUCCCCUUCAGCUGUUUUUUGUUUUGUUUUAUUUUGGGUUUUUUGUUUGUUUCUUUUUUACUUUGGUUGAUUGUUUUGAGUUGGUAUCUUUCCCUGUAGAUUCAGAAGAAUAGGAAUAGGAGAGCCAGUGACAGGAGCAGUCUGCCCAGUGUUGGUAGUGUUUGCAAAGAAUGUAAAAUUGGUGGCUGGGAGAAGGAUUUUUUUUAAUUGACCUGUCAUUAUCUUUUUUUCAAAGCCUUUUCUUUCUCUGAACAAUGUUUGUUAGGCCACUGAGAUUUGCUGUGACAGAUUUUCAGUAUAGCCUUACUGCUCAAUUCCAAAUUGAGAACCAUGCUUGAAGACUCCAAGGAAAACUAGAGGUAAUUUGCCAAGUAAGUAAAAGUGGAGGAAGGUGGAGCAUGGGACAUCUUGGGGGGAUGUUUAUGCUUGAGGUGUAAGGGGUUUUAGGCUUUAUUUUUAUAAACACAAACAUUCCUGUGUCCCUUUCUUUCCUUGCCCCUCCCACUGUGAAGAGAACAUGAGGAAAUUAUAACCUUGUGAGCCACCUCUGGGUUUAUUUUCUGAGGAUUUUGGGAGCAGUACAUUGUUAAAAACUAACAGUAAAAGCUUUUGCUUUUCUGGAACCUACAUUACUGGAUCUUGAGUUACAGGUUCAGAAAAAAUUGCUUGUUAGUAGGAAACUGACCAAGUUUCAUUUCAUGUAAACCUUGUAGAAGUUAAUAGAGCUGACUGUAAACCUUCAGUGCUGGUUUAUGGAAAUAUUUGUCCUAUAAUGAGUUAGGAAACUUCCUUUGAAGUUUUUGCUUUAGCAUGUAAGGGGAUAGGAGUCUUCAGACUUCAAACGGCACAAAUAAUCCACAGAUUUUAUUCUGCUUAUGCAAAGAAAGAGUCAUGUUAUUCAAACUGUAAAAUCAAAUGAAGUGUUGUGUUUGGUUUAGAUGAUGAAAUCACACCUGCCAUUCUUCUUUUUGCUUUUGCAUUAAUAUUUAGCCAUCUCUGCUACAAUAAUUGCAGGUACUUUCUGUUCUGCUCCCCCCCCCACCUUCCCACCUUAAAGGCAAUGUUACUUGUCUGACAUUUUCUUCUCCCCCACCCACAUUGUCCUUGUCUUCAUUUUAAACAUGUGCUCUCUGGAAAGCCACUGUCAUGCCUGUGGUCCAGUGCAAGCAAGAAGAUCUCAAUAAAGCUGUUUACAGCAUGACUGCUUUCCAGAUAUUUCAGUGCGAUUUUCUGUGUAAGGUUUCCAGAUCUGUGUUCAAGCUUUUAGAAGUAAUGAGAAUUAUUGUGUAGUUUUUCCAAUAAGAAAAGGAAUUAAAUUAGUUAUAUUGAGAAAGCAUGCUUAUUUAAGAGCUGGUGUCAAACAGAAGAUGGUUUGUGUGGCUAUGCAUAUCAGUCAUUGAUUCUUGCCUUAUCCACUUUGUUUGCUCUCAGAAUCAACUUUUCUCUUAACAUUCAUAAUGAUUUGGUGCUGUGUGUAUGCAUGGUGUGCAUAUAUUGCCUCACUGUACCUGGUAGUGGUGUGUGUCAAAGCCCUUCAGAUAACCACUGUUCUUACAGGCUGAAUGCACACACAGGUUGCCACCCCAGCAGAGGUAUGGCCACAUAUCUGCAGAGUGCAACAGCACUCCUGUAGCAGCUGCUGAAGGCAUUUGUCAUGGCAGCUGCUCUCACAAGUUACAUGCAACUUUCUGGCAGAAGGCAACCUUUGCACUUUCUGUCAUCUCUUGUCUACAGUACCUCUGUCACCAACUAACUUCUUCUUGUUAUCUUUGUUUCAGGUGCUAAGUAGACUUCUGCACUUGCAGUGUAUCUGACUGCAGUUUCAGGGUCUGUGUUCUUCAAGAAUGUUUGUUUUCCUUUUAAUGGUGAAAAUAAGCUCUGUUUUUGUUGAAAAGAAACAGUCACAGAUCACAGUGAAAACUUCCAAUUAAUUCAGUGUCAAUAUAUUAAACCCACAGUAUUCUCACACAUGGAUGUUACCCUUUUAACAAUGAAAGUCUUCUUUCAUUUCAUUCUUCUUUUCAUUUCACUUCUUGCCUUACGGUUAUUCAAGAAAAUGGAACCAAUGAGUGUGCUAUGGCAGUACCAGGUACCUGCAUCAGAAUAUCCUUUAAAAGCUCUGUCACUAAGGCAAGCUAGUAGAAAACAGAAGGCUCUCAGAAACUUUGCUGUGCCCUAGUUCUUUUCAAGGUAUUCACUCAAACUGUAGAACAAGGCCAUGGCUAGUCCAAGAAAUAUGGCAGGUUUUCAAAUAGAGUAGGCUGGAAAAAAACAGCUUGAGAACUGGUCUAAUCCUGCUGGAUAUUAGUUUGGCCACAAAUAUGCAUGUCAUUAUAACCCAGCAACCUCCUUCUUGUUGAAUGCAGGCAGUGCUCUGAGGAAACAACAGCUAGUGGAGAUAAUGUAAUUUCAAAGUAUGAGUGAAGAAUGUUAAAGGGGUUUCCUAAAAGAUAUUCUGGACUGAUCAGUAAUGCAAGUUCACAGGAGAAUAAUUAUAUAUUUCAGGUCAUAUCAAAAGCAGAAAUCUUCUGGUAAUGGAACAUGAUUAGCUGGAACCGUAAACAUAACAUUUGGUUCUAAGUAUAAAGACCUAUUGAUGUCUCGCUGUAAUAAUGUCAGACAUUCCUGUUUUGAAUAAAAGGGUAAUAACUUCAAGCUUUUUGCUAUAGGGAGGAAAGAAUGGUUUAUAGUAUGAUGUUUCUGAAUUAUCUAGUGGCAAGGAAAAUUGAAUAGUAUUUAUCUGAGAGGGAAAGGCAGAAAGGACUUUAAAAUGUAGGUAAUACUUCUCAUUUCAGAUCCAAUUCUCUGGUGUUAUGCUGCUAGAAGGAACAGAAUACUAAUAGUUAAUAACAGCAAAUGAGAGGAUAAAGGUAAACUGACAUUGCAACUGGUGAAUUCCUUAGAAGAGUUUGUAAGUUUCUUACAGAUCAGCAGCUCAUCUAAAUGUAUAUGUCUGACAGACUUAUGUACAGUCUGUCACUUUUUUUCUUAAGGACUCCUUUCCUUAUUGUACUGGAUUUUCUAACAGGGUGAAAUUGCAGUGUGUGGCUGUUAGAAUUUGUCCAGCCUCUGAUUCUUUUCUUAAGGCUAAAAAAACCUGGCUCUCUCAUCCUUUCCAGGAAUCACUCUGACCACCUUGGCAGUGUCCUCCGGAUCACCUGCUUCACUGUCAGCAGUGUUCUUGUGCUAGGGAACGCUAAAUAGGACACAACACUCCACAUGCAGCCUCACAAGUGCUGAAAGCAGAAGGCAGCUUACUCUCUGGGACCUGCUUGCUGGCUCUGAUGGUCAUUGCCACUGCAAGGUCACACGGCUGACUUAAGCUGCGCACAAGUGCACACGGCUCUUACUCUAAAGCUCCCUAACCAGUUGUUUCCCAGCCUAUACUGCUGCAUGGAGUUAUUUCUGCAAGGAUGAAGUAAUUUGCAUUUGUCUUUGUUGAACUUAUAUUUCUACAAGUCCACAUGUCCAACUUGUGCUGUUCUGGUUCUCUAUCUCUCAUUGCUUUCUUUUCUUGCCCCUCCCUGCCAUGUGUGGAAGCUUCUCUACCACUUUCCCAUUAUCUACACAAUCAGACACCUCUUUCUAGAGGGAAUUAAGUUGGGCAGACAUGACAUUGUAGGCUUGACAUUGUGCUGACUGUUUCAAACUACCAUCACCUUCAUGUGCCUAGGUAUGGAUUCAGAGAGGAUUUGCUCUAACUGCCUGGACUGAGGUAGGACUGUCUAGUUUGUAAUUCCCUGGAUCCUCCUCCUGGAACAUAUGGGUGUGGCACUUGCUUUUUACAACUCAUCAGGUACUGCUGUAACCUUUCCAGUGUCAUCGAGAAUGUCCUUGUGGGACAUGAGCCAGCCCCCUCUCUGGUCCUAUGGGGAGUUUUAUGUAUUUGCAGUUUGUAGGUGUUGCUACAAGGAGGUGUUGAUACAUAUGAUUUCUGUAAGAAGGACACUGUGACUCUACCAUUUAAAACACUAGUUAUCAGCAAUGAGGACAGACAAGGAAGACUGUGAGAUGGUCAAAGAAUGUGAAUUUUUUGUGGAGUACAACUGCUUAUAUAGUAUUUUAGGAAGGCUAGUAAUGUUUUAUGCAAUGAUUGGGUUAAAAAUCACAUAAACAAACUUAGGCAUUUUAAACAUCUCUUGCUUGCAGAAGUCUGAUGUAAUUUUCUUUUUUUUCAGUAAAUCUGUCUGAUUUGAUCUUCUUGCAAUCUUGAUUUAAUUCUCAAAGUUCUGUUUGCUCUUGCCAAGGCAUCCUGUUAUCAAAUCUCUUAGGCUAACCAGGUCCAAAUUUCAUCAUCUGUCUUGUGUCCCAAUAUCUCAAUAACUAGUUAUUAGAACUAAUACUUUCAGAUGAAGGCAAGGCCAUGCAGGUGACAUAAGCUCUGGUACAAGAGCUUUAUCAAGACAAGCAGCUGCCUGCUGGCUCCUCCAGCGCUGUGCUGCCUGAGCUUGUCCCACUACCGAGAGAUUUGCACAGUCCAACGCAGCCUGAAGGCCACACUGGCUGUGCAGAGCACAGACCUUGCCUGCUCAGGUUAGCCAUGACAUAAUGUGGGUCACUGAGCCCUCAACAUCUUCUGGUCAGCAUCACUGCAUUCCCUGUCCCAUUACUUGCAGUAAGUUGUAAUACCUUUCUACAGAUACCGUUAGUAGGCUUGGGAAAGUUAGUAGGCUUCUUGUCAUCUGCUCACCUUGUCAUCUGGAUCACCUACUUCUUCCAGUAUCUGUGUUGCCUCUGUAAGCAGUAAGUUAUUAGGCUGUAUUACAGGUUUCAUACUGUAAUACAAGUCACAAUUAGUGCUAGCUUUAAAAUAGUUUUACUGUAGUGGCACUGCAGAUGCUGAAAGAACAUUUUUGGCUCGAUGAUACUACUUUAAAAGCCAUGGUAAUAUAUAACUUACUGCUUUGUGGCGAGUGAAUACUAAAACAUCUUUUACAUUAUUUUCAUGGACAAAAGUAACAUUGAUUUCAGCAAAGUUCAGUUAAUAUAAAAAAGGGCAAAAUGCAGGCUUCACAAAUACCCUCUAAAUUGGUUAUACAACAUAAGAGGUGAGCUGAGUUGGGUGGACUGAUAGAGAGAUAUUCAUAGGAGGAGUAACAGAUUAGAGGCCUUUCAGGAUAUGAGUAUUUCCCUGUGUUCCAGGGGAGCUCUCACAGAGUCAUUGUGAUAAAGAAAAUUUGCCUCAAUUCUGUGGCUAUUCAAAAAGCAAUAGGAAUUCCAACACAAUUGACAGAGAGAGCAUCUAAUCUUCAGCCCUGUUGAGCACUGUUAUGGUAGGUGGAGAUAGGAGCUGGGAGACGUUCCAUACUUAAUGCUUCCUAGUAGCUAAAUGAGCAUCUCCCUGCGCACUGACUUAGAUUUUUUAGCUUAAUUGCUUGUGUAAACUUCAGUUAAUUUAGCUGGUAUAGUGCACCUUGACAUGUUAAAUAACUUUUUGUUUGCAUACUUGGUAGGUUGGAAUAGUCUUUUCUAUGGGGGCGGCGGAAACUCUACAGAGAGACCUGGAGAGACUCAGUCAAUGGGCUACGGGCAGCUUCACGAGGCUCAAUAAGGCAAAGUGCUGUUUCCUACACUUGAGUCACAACCACCCCAUGCAGUGCUACAGCCUGGGAGAGCAGUGGCUGGUGGCUAGAGAGCUGUUUAGCCAAGGGGGACUUGGGGGUCCUGGUUGAAGCCAGCUCACUAUAAGCCAACAGUGUGCGCCGGUGGCCAGGAAGCCCUAUGGCAUCCUGGCCUGUAUCAAGAACAGUGUGGCCUGCGGGACCAGGGCAGUGAUUGUCCCCCUGCACUUGGCACUGGUGAGGCCACAUCUUGAAUCCUGUGUUUGUUCUGGGCCCCUCUCUUUAAAAAGGACUUCGAGGUGCUGUAGAGUGUCCAGAGAAGGGCAACAAGGCUUGUGAAAGGACUAGAAAAUGUGUCUUAUAAGGAAUGGCUGAGGGAUCUGGGUUUGUUUAGUUUGGAGAAGAGGAGGCUCAUGGAAGGACCUCAUUGCUCUCCACAACUCCCUGAAAGGAGGGUGUAGUGAGGUAGGAGCUGGUUUCCUCUACUGUGCCAGCAGUGAGAGGACCAGAGGAAAUGGCCUUAAGAUGAGACAGCGGAGAUUCAGAUCAGAUAUUAGAAGAAUUCUUUCUGUUAGGGUGGUCAGAAAUAGAUUUCCUUGGAGAUGCUCAAGAGGAGUCUGGAUCUGUUGCUGGGUGGUGUGGUUUAGUGAUUUAGGGGCAAUGUUGGCCUGCGGGACUGGAUGAUCUUAAAGGUUUCUUGCAACCUUGGCAAUUCUAUAAUUAUUCUAUGAAAAGCAGAUUUUUAUUUCCUCUUAAAGGGUCAAGGAUUUAUUUUAUUGAUGUUGAUAAUCAUAGUCCAAAAUGAAGCAAUGCUAGCACUAACUACGGAAAGAUGGAAGUCUUUUCUCUCUUUUAAAGUAUUGACAGAAUUACAAUUUUCACAAAGCAUUUUUUCAAAUUAAAAUAAACAUAAAAAUGCUAAGGUGAAAAUAUACCUAUGUUGAAAGAAUCUGUGUGAGGGAAAAAUUGUGAUUUGCGAUAAUUAAGAGGAAGUGUUGUGCUCCACUAACAGGAUUUAGGAAAUAAAUGUAAUUUCAACCUAAUUACUCACAACUGACUUUCCUGCUCUUAGGGCAAUCUCUUGUUAUAAUUACAGCACAAUAAUAAUUUAACAGAUGUGUACUAUAUAUAAAAUUUGAGCAUGUAUUAUUGCUAUUAAACAACAAAUCUAUCAUUUAUCGUAAAGAAGUACAGCAGCUCCUAAUGCUGCUGACUGCCUAAGCAUAUGCUUAGAUAAUUUACUCCCUUGUACCAACUGUUAGUGUGAUUCCCUCAUACAGUUUCUCCAAACUAGAAAGUGCCAUUAAGUAGAAAGUGUAAACAAGGAUCUACUUGUAACUUGAAACAUUCAAAUUAUCUUUCAUUAGAUACCUUUUUAUGAAAACAUGUCUUUUGUCUUAAACAUUUUCUUUACAAAUGGGUAACUCAAAUGCAAAUACUGAAAAAUUCAUUUGAGCUGCCGAGAAUAUUCUGCCAAGCAUGUGUGUAGUAAGGGCCUGUAUAAAUAAUAUAUUACUUUAAAAUAAAUGUUAGUGUAUGGAAGAGCACUUCCAUAUAGAUUUAACUUCUUGUUUUAGAGGUGGUCAGAUACAACGGCAAGCAUCAGCUGUUCAGUGCUAUGGGAUCACAUUGGAUAGUGUAGGCAAAGACAAAAUAGGAGAAAAGUAGGUGUCUUACAGGGCCUGUUGCUGUUCAUGAAAGAAUAUAAGGCUAAUGCUCAUGAUGUUUUUAAACUUAAUAUUAUGUUUUGUCUAUGACCUUAUUUUCUAAUAUCAGUGUUGUAAAAUAUGAAUUAUAAUCUUUUAAUGUAAAAUAAGAAAGGACAUUGUGAAAUAAUCCUCAAGCUCUAGCCGAGUACUUUAUCUGCUGUCCUUUGGUGAUGGUUGAUGACUAAUCAAGAGACCAAAAAGCCCUAAAAGUCUGAUUUUCUUCUAUCAAGUGACACUGGUUAGGUGAAUGUUGUUUUCCCAGAUGCAUUUAAAACUCCUAAUUCAGUCACCAUUCUUCCAUUUCUAUUAUUUGAAAAAAUAGAAUUGGGAGUUAGUUUGAUCUAAUGAUGUUUUCAUAAUGGCAUUUAUAAUAAAUGACUUUUAUAAUAUAAUAAAUUAGGCUCUCAGUACAUAUACAAAAGUAAAGAGGUAGCAUAAUUGUGAAUAUUGACAGCUCAGUACUAUUCUCCAUACAUGAGUAGUGAUUGUUGAUCAUUCUGCAGAGACAGAAACAAGUAUACAAAACACAGCAUUUCUACAUGUUUAUACAUUUUCCAUACUUUUAGUAGUAAUUUAUCCAUGUGACACAGAAUCUGACAUCUUUAAACCGUAUGCUAUGUAUUGAUGGAACUUUUACAAAACCACUAGCUUGUGGAUAGAAAUUGAAUAUUAAGGCCUCUGUUGCUGUUUCUUUGUAGUUGGAAGCUUUCUUUACAGAAGUGUUUUUCUCAUCUGAAGAUACACGAAAAUAUGUGCUAAGAAAAAAUAUUAAUCUUCUGAUAAUCUUAACAAACUGAUUUAAAUCCACAGCUUUUGUUAUUUAUGAAGACUCAUUAUUUCGUGAAUAGUUUUGAAUCUAAGAAUCCAGUAGUAUGUCUUCAGUGUAAUUUCCAACUUUACAUCUUCCUGAGAAAUACUUUCGUUUUGUAUUUAAGCAAGCAUUUAAAUGUUUAAGAAAGAUGUUUUGUGAUGGAAGCAAGCAAAACAAAUUCUUAUCAUGACAGAAGUAUAUUCUAAAACUGGGAAAUGGUGAGUCUGUUUCUGCCUUCAUUCUGGGAGUGUAAGGGAUUGUUAGAGGAGGACAAUUUUUUAGUGGAAAAGGAAAGGGUGGUUGGAAAGAAAGUCAGGUGUCUUAAAGGAAGUGUAUUUUAGCAAGAUAUUUUUGUACUUGAUUGGAGGGAGGAAAAACAAAAGCUUCAAUAAAACAACUUUUAAAAAGCAUCAUAUACUGGCUUUAAUUUGAUUUGCUUUCUGUAGAAAAGUCUAUUUAAAUAAACUAAGGUUGCUGUCCUAGGCAAGGAAACAAUGUGCUUUACACAUAUGGUGUGCUUGAUGUUGCUUUAGUGGUAUGCACAGACCAUUCCGUAGCAAAAUUUAUAUUGGACACUCCCGUGGAGGAACUUAUCUGCCAAAAGCUUCACGUUGCUCUGUGGGUUUUUUAACCAUUCUGUCUCAUUUGGAAUGUUGUUGAAAUAAAAAAUUUGUAUAUUAAUUCUACAGAAGAAGCCUGUGAACCACUCAGAUGUUUUGGGUUACCUUAUGCUUUUCAGGCACAGGAAGUGAACUUGUCUGGGUUUUAUGGGGAACAGAUUUAGUGCAAUUAAUUAUUUGUGGUACAAUUGAAACAGACUGACAAUUGUUGGACAUUGUGGUAUUGGUAUAAAGAUGUGUAAGCUGAUAUAAUUUGUGUCAUUUUUGCAGAAAGUUGCAUAAUAACCCUAGUUAAUAGAAUAACGUCCAUGUUGCAACUAAAAUUUUAGGUAGAAUUUGGCUGACUGAAAACAAGAUUAAGAUUCAUAGUUUAGUUCUGCAUUUGCUUUAGAUCUGUAUAAACCAUACUGGCCACUAAAGGUAUUAAACCCUUCCUGGCCCUGUUUUCAUGCUUGCAUGGCAUCUUCUAUGUCUGCAUUAAAACAAUCAAAACCAUCACCAUUAGCUAGCUGCUGGGUUAAAAAUUCUCUGUUGGGCUGGAUUUUAGCUUGAAUAUGUUCCCUGAGGUAAAAAGGAGGAAAUGCUGCAGUGGUGGAAAGAAGCAGGGGGAGGGACACCAUGGGUGUCCCUCAGGGAGAAUGCAUACACCAGUUUUUUGUGUGUGGAGUGGAGCCAUAGCCACUGUUCUGCUGAAGGAUAGCAACAGGCAUCCUUCAGAGUCAGCAGGAGGAAAACAGGAUGAAAAUAUACAAAGAGGGCAGUCAAGAACUGAAGGGAAGGAAGCUAACAGGUAGCGCUAUGAAUAUCAAAAUGAGAAAAAGCUUACUGUAUCCUUUGUUUUCUUUCAUGAACCAAAUAAUGUCUUUUUUUAGGAGCAGAAAAGAAUAAUAAAGAAGAAUGGAAAAAGGAUGGAAAAUCAAAGCUUUCUGUGGUGUUUAAAACUGUAUGCGAUUGUAGAAAGCCCAAUUCAACUGCAAAGCAGCUAAGAAUGAAAAUCAUACAUAUCAAUGCUGAUUAAAGCUACCAGUGAAGGGUUGUCCAGAUGCAGAAGACAGUCCUGAAUUUCUGAGUACCUGGACAGAACUCCAGGAAGUAAAAGCUGAAGAUGUAAGACACAGGCAAGGCCUAGAUAGAAAAAGAAAAAAGGAAAUUUGGUUAUGUGGAGCCCAGCAGAAGAAAAAGCGAGGAACAACUAAGGUCUGCAACCUGUGCAAUUCAUUAGCAAGAAAUGGAAAAGAAGAUAUGGUCACAGUAGCAGAAAGUGAAACCUUUAUGAAAUCCACAACUGAAUCCACAAAGACAUCAAGUGCUGACAACUACCUCCAGCACUAACAAAAUGGAGAUUUUGCGGUCUUCAAAGUCACCCUCUAAUUUUAAAAUACAGUAUCUCUUGGUUUGCAAAGUUGUUUCUUUAAUAAAUUUGCUUCAAGUAUCAGUAUAUCUUGAACUAUAUCUAUAUCUAUCUAUGUAUAUGUCUACAUUGUCCAAAUCUGAAAAUUGCUUAUCAUAAUGUCUUUUGACAUGAAAAUUCAAGUUUGUUCUUCCUUGACAGUUUUUGCUAAUCCAAUUCCUGCUGUUUAAAUCAUCAUAGCCUAUUUUUCACUUUUUCCUUGGUUUUCCUGGAGCAGGAAAUGAGCUCUGUUUGGUUUGGAGAAGUCCUUUCAAGAGUGAUUUACUUAGCUCAUUUUGUCUAAAUCAUUAGUAAAUCUUUUAUAUGUAGUGGGGAUACUAGCACAUGCAGCAGGCAGAUCAAAACUACUGACCCCUUUUUGAAAUAAUAAUUACUUUUAAAAAAUCACUUCCCAUGUUUAGGUAUGUGUAAUAUAUUAAUUAAAAUGUGCCUUUGCAACAUUUAUGUUUACUAACUCCUUUCUUUUUCCCUAACAUCCCAAUCAGGUAAUUGUGAGGCCUGUUUUAAAACCCCAGGUACUACUGAAAUAUCUGCAAAUACUCUAACACUGAUGUAUCUAUGCUGGGCGUGCUCUUACAGUAGCUAAAUAAUGCAUUCAAAUCAGUAUUUAGACCAGUAGCUGAUAUUUAACAUUGGUUUUGAAUUACUGCAGUUAAGAUUAAUACAGAUUUCCGGAAGUUGCAGGUUUCUCUGAUGUUUUAAAACAGACCAUUGUGCAAUGAGACUGUUCUAGCUAUAUUAAUGUUUUAUAAGUAGAGCUGCUGUAAUUAAAAGAAAUAACCUGGCAUUUUCAAUUCUUCUAUUUUCUCUAUACAGAUCUUAAUUAUCCUACCAUAAAAUCUGCAAUGUUUUUUCAUAUUUUUGAGGCCUUUCUAUGUGUAAUGCAGAAUUCAAGCACUUAUUCCUGCAUAAAUUCUUUAAUUUGGACUUGCUAUAAGAUAAAAAAAUAUUUUAAUGUGUCACAACACAUUGCAUUUACUGCAUACAUUCAUUGGGAGGGUCAGAAAACAAUGUAUAAAAGUAUUUCAGCUUUCUAGGGAACCUGACACUGCUACUGAUGUUGUUUGUUUUCAGCAUGAAAUAAUGAAGAAUACUUACUUCAAAUAUGUUUGCAUUUUCCUUCUGGGUAUUUUUGAAAAUACCUUUCAAAACAAGUCCUUAUUUCAAUAAAAAAACUUAAAAGCAUUGCACAGAAUCAACUUCUGCUCUCAGGGUUGUUUUCACUGAUGUUAUUCUUUUUAAUGCAGUUCCAGCAAUUAAUAGAAAUGGUUCUGAGUGGAUACAUCUGGAACAUAAAGAUAAUUAUUCUGUGUACCGUGACUUAAUACAAUGACUGGAGCUAAGGAUAUGCUUUCUAUCUCUCUAGCAGCAAAAAGCAAUCUAUUAUCCCAUGAACAGUACUAAAAGAAAAGAAAUCCUAUCUUGAUUUAAAUAGGACUCUCUAUUUCCUCUUACAA